AUGGCCCAGCAGUCGGACAAGGCCGUGAAGUGCUGCGCCCUGGAGGAGAUUCAAAGCACAAUCAUAGCAAAAGCACCUGGGUGUACGAUUUGACCAAAUUCCUGGCAGAGCAUCCUGGUGGGAAAGAAGUCUUAAGGGAAUAAGCUGGAGAGAUGCUACUGAAAACUUUGAGGAUGUCGGGCACUCUACAGAUGCCAGAGAAUUCUCCAAAUCAUAAAUCAUUGGGGUUUCAUCUGGAUGACAGAUAAAGUUAACUAAGCCUUCAGAAUUUUUUUUUUUUUUUUGAGACGGAGUCUCACUCUGUUGCCCAGGCGGGAGUGCAAUGGCACGAUCUCAGCUCACCGCGACCUCCGCCUCCCAGGUUCAAGCGAUUCCCCUGCCUCAGCCUCUCGAGUAGCUGGGAUUACAGGUGCGCACCACCAUGCCUGGCUAAUUUUUGUAUUUUUUAGUAGAGACUGGGUUUCACCAUGUUGGUCAGGCUGGUCUCGAACUCCUGACCUCGUGAUCCGCCCACCUUGGCCUCCCAAAGUGCUAGGAUUACAAGCGUGAGCUACUGCGCCCAGCCUUUUUUUUUUUUUUUUUUUCCUUCAAGAGAUGGUUUAGCUCUAUGUUGUCCAGGCUGGUUUCCAACUCCUGAGCUCAAGGGAUCCCCCUGAGUGGUUGGGACUACUGGCAUGCACCACUGGAAACCCUUAUUACUACUGUUGACUUUAAUUCCAGUUAGUGGACUAGUUGAGUGAUCCCAGCCAUCUCAGCACUGGCCAAAGCCUUCCUGUGUUACCUCUACAUGUAG
rnacentral:lncRNA from 10 species